GCCUAGUUCCUCCCUGUGUACUGCCGCUGUGGCUCUUUUGCACAGUGCCGGCCAAUUUCUUCUCUGCCGCCGGCGACUAGAGCCACCGCCGAUCGCUCUGUGCCCUUCUACUUCUCUGCCGCCACUCUAACCGGAGCCGAGACCUUCUCACAGCAGUGCUGCCGGCCGGAAAUCCUCUGUGCCCUAGCUGUGAGCAUUUCUUCCUCCUCAGAGCAGUGGUGAUACGGUAUUGUGACAGAAAGAUCCUUGGUACAACAGAUCGGCGAUAUUAGAGUUGCCCUAUUCCGGCAGCCACUUUUUGUAGCAAUCGACAGCACCUUUCCUGCCUGUUGAAUUAAGGACUUUGAUUCGAGACGAGCAUCUCGACGUCCGAGUUGGACCAUUUCGAUUGGAGGCGGG